UCUUCAUUUCACGUGCUCUCUCACCGGUCAGACUGGCGAGAGAGCAUGCGAAAUGAAGAGA
rfam:Pristionchus pacificus strain PS312 contig13759, whole genome shotgun sequence.